rnacentral:snoRNA from 1 species
AGUAGAACCUAUCAAAGACCGUGCAAUAGAAAUUCACUAUCUGGCAUUGUUGAUUUUCUUGGCUUUGGUGCCUAUUAAACCUGGUAUUUCUACUGAUACACAC